CAGUAGCCGCGGUAAUACAGAGGGUGCGAGCGUUAAUCGGAUUUACUGGGCGUAAAGCGUGCGUAGGCGGCCUCUUAAGUCGGAUGUGAAAUCCCUGAGCUUAACUUAGGAAUUGCAUUCGAUACUGGGAAGCUAGAGUAUGGGAGAGGAUGGUAGAAUUCCAGGUGUAGCGGUGAAAUGCGUAGAGAUCUGGAGGAAUACCGAUGGCGAAGGCAGCCAUCUGGCCUAAUACUGACGCUGAGGUACGAAAGCAUGGGGAGCAAACAGGAUUAGAUACCCCAGUAGUCCCUGUCUCUUAUAC
rnacentral:rRNA from 1 species